CGCUGGCGGCGUGCCUAACACAUGCAAGUCAACUUGACUGAAGGAGCAAUCUGACAGUAGAGUGGCGCAAGGGUGCGUAACGCGUAGUAACUUGCCCAAGGUAAGGAAUAACGUCGAGAAAUCGGCGCUAAUACCUCAUAAUGCAGCGGAUCCGCAUGGAUAUGUUGUUAAAGGUUUACCGCCUUGGGAUAGGCUUGCGUCUGAUUAGUUAGUUGGUGUGGUAACGGCACACCAAGGCUACGAUCAGUAACUGGUCUGAGAGGAUGAUCAGUCACACUGGAACUGAGACACGGUCCAGACUCCUACGGGAGGCAGCAGUGAGGAAUAUUGGGCAAUGCUCGAAAGAGUGACCCAGCAACGCCGCGUGGAGGAUGAAGGUAUUCUAUAUCGUAAACUCCUGUGAGAGCAGACGAAAGACAGAUUAUUAAUCUGGAUGACUGUAUGCUCAGAGGAAGCCCCGGCUAACUACGUG
rnacentral:rRNA from 1 species